GAUGAACGCUGGCGGCGUGCUUAACACAUGCAAGUCGAACGAAGCAUUUAAGACAGAUUACUUCGGUUUGAAGUCUUUUAUGACUGAGUGGCGGACGGGUGAGUAACGCGUGGGUAACCUGCCUCAUACAGGGGGAUAGCAGCUGGAAACGGCUGGUAAUACCGCAUAAGCGCACAGUACCACAUGGUACAGUGUGAAAAACUCCGGUGGUAUGAGAUGGACCCGCGUCUGAUUAGCUUGUUGGCGGGGUAACGGCCCACCAAGGCGACGAUCAGUAGCCGACCUGAGAGGGUGACCGGCCACAUUGGGACUGAGACACGGCCCAGACUCCUACGGGAGGCAGCAGUGGGGAAUAUUGCACAAUGGAGGAAACUCUGAUGCAGCGACGCCGCGUGAGUGAAGAAGUAGUUCGCUAUGUAAAGCUCUAUCAGCAGGGAAGAUAGUGACGGUACCUGACGAAGAAGCUCCGGCUAAAUACGUG
rnacentral:rRNA from 1 species